GAUGAACGCUGGCGGCGUGCUUAACACAUGCAAGUCGAACGGAAAGGCCCAAGCUUGCUUGGGUACUCGAGUGGCGAACGGGUGAGUAACACGUGGGUGAUCUGCCCUUCACUUCGGGAUAAGCCUGGGCCACUGGGUCUAAUACCGGAUAGGACCACAUUUUGGAUGGUGUGGUGGCGAGUUUUUCGGUGUGGGAUGAGCUCGCGGCCUAUCAGCUUGUUGGUGGGGUAAUGGCCUACCAAGGCGUCGACGGGGAGCCGGCCUGAGAGGGUGUACAGCCACAGUGGGACUGGGAGACGGCCCCGACUCCGACGGGAGGGAGAAGUGGGGAAUAGUGAUCAAUGGGAGCAAGCCUGAUGCAGCGACGCCGCGUGGGGGAGGACGGUCUUGGGGUUGUAAACGCCUUUCGCUAGGGACGAAGCGUUAUGUGACGGUACCUGGAGAAGAAGCACCGGCUAACUACGUG
rnacentral:rRNA from 1 species